AUUGAACGCUGGCGGCAGGCUUAACACAUGCAAGUCGAGCGGAGAUGAGGUGCUUGCACCUUAUCUUAGCGGCGGACGGGUGAGUAAUGCUUAGGAAUCUGCCUAUUAGUGGGGGACAACAUUCCGAAAGGAAUGCUAAUACCGCAUACGCCCUACGGGGGAAAGCAGGGGAUCUUCGGACCUUGCGCUAAUAGAUGAGCCUAAGUCGGAUUAGCUAGUUGGUGGGGUAAAGGCCUACCAAGGCGACGAUCUGUAGCGGGUCUGAGAGGAUGAUCCGCCACACUGGGACUGAGACACGGCCCAAACUCCUACGGGAGGCAGCAGUGGGGAAUAUUGGACAAUGGGGGGAACCCUGAUCCAGCCAUGCCGCGUGUGUGAAGAAGGCCUUAUGGUUGUAAAGCACUUUAAGCGAGGAGGAGGCUCUUUUGGUUAAUACCCAAGAUGAGUGGACGUUACUCGCAGAAUAAGCACCGGCUAACUCUGUGCCAGCAGCCGCAGUAACAC
rnacentral:rRNA from 1 species